rnacentral:rRNA from 1 species
UACGUAGGUGGCAAGCGUUGUCCGGAAUUAUUGGGCGUAAAGCGCGCGCAGGCGGUCCUUUAAGUCUGAUGUGUAAGCCCACGGCUCAACCGUGGAGGGUCAUUGGAAACUGGGGGACUUGAGUGCAGGAGAGAAGAGUGGAAUUCCACGUGUAGCGGUGAAAUGCGUAGAGAUGUGGAGGAACACCAGUGGCGAAGGCGACUCUGUGGCCUGUAACUGACGCUGAGGCGCGAAAGCGUGGGGAGCAAACAGG